UAAUAUUGAACAACCUCAAAUCAAUUGCUAUCGAAUUACAUUUACAAUUCAAGCACAUAAUCAUAUUUACAUGUUAUUGACCAAUCUCUUGUAUUGCUACAACCUCGCGCACAAACAAACACACAUAAAAAUGAAAAAAAAUAAUAAAUAUAACCGAAAAACAACUAAUAAAACCAUAAAAUUUUGAAAAUAUUUCUAUGUUAAACCCCCCACACACUUUAUUUGGCAUGUUGUCCCUAAUGUGCGUCCCAAAGAUAGGAGAAGAAACUAAACAUUUUUUGUAUUGAGGUCCUCAGAUAUGGUCAAUUAAUCCUCCUUGUGUCGAUUUAGUUCCAAGAUGCAAUGUCGCAUAUCGUAAGGGGUUCCUACAUAGAAAUUAAAUAAAAAAACUAAAGCAAAAAUAAAUAACAAAGUCUAACUAAAAAUAAAAAAAUCCAAAAAUUAAAAUUUACAAGUCCUAAAAAUUAAAAUAAAAUUAAAAGUUCAGAAGUUUUUAACCAGAAUCGACAUCCAGCUAACUUUCCUCAAUCAUUGGGUCCUUCCCUCAACCCGUGUCUAGUAUGGCAGCCUUUGCACCCGCAAAACUAGUGGGGCUCAUGCGACUCAGGAUGCGAAUCUUAGCUCCUCUUAUUGAUGGCUGCUUUGUUCAAAGCAUCUCGUCGAGAUCAUUGACAAGGGUCGACUCUUCUUCUUCCUCCUCGUCAUCGCUUUCUUCCUCUUUCUCCCAUUUCUGACCAGCUUAUGGUAUAGGUGGGUACCGAUUUGGUGGUGGCUCAGAGGUGGGAAUCCCGAAUCAUUGGACGUAGUACUUACCCAACAAUGUCACCCACUGCAUCCAUCUAAUGACCUACACCAUGUCGGCCAUAUCGCUGGUCUAUUGCCUCCCUUAGCCCUUUUUCUUCGUCUUCCUUUUGGGGGAUAGUAGGAAAUCCAUCUUUUUCUUCUAUUGCCCGUUCAACUCUUGGAUGUGCUUACGAUUUAGCUCGAUGUACUAGGCAUACAUGGAGUUCCUAAGGAUGCUUUUAUUGGGCUUAAUGAACUGCUCAAUUGUGGACAUCGGGACCUUAACCUUCUUGCAUAAGGCAGUCACUAUGUUUGGGAAAAAGAUCCCGAACUUUUUACCACUAAUGAAAGUGAACAUCGUUUGUAGAUCCACUUGUCGAUGCACAAUUUUCUAUGCUACAAAAUACAGUAUAACAAAAUAGCUCGAAAGGAGUUAACAUUAGAUAAAUUAAGGCUGGAAAACUCCAAGUUUUGGC
rnacentral:lncRNA from 1 species